GUCCACCUACGUGUGUAUAGGCAUGUAUGCAUGUGCAUAUGGUUUGAACAGGGAGCUGCAGCAUGACAGGCAUAGCAUUGUUCAGAGAAGAGAAGUGAGAGAAAGCUCCUGAACUCCUCCUCGGGAAGGCACCAGGAAGCGUGGCCUCUGCCUAUUAGGAUCUCACCGCAGGGCUCUCCUCCCUACCCUCACCGCUUGGAGUAGCAGACAUCAUGGAUCACAGGUGUCCCUAAUCAGGCUGCAAGGAGAUGUUUCUCGGCAUUUCUGAUGUUUCAACCCUACCGCACCUGCGAGGGGGAGGCUCCAGCCAGCCAGGCGGGCAGGAGGCCAUGCUGCUGCCACUCCAGAACCUCAUAAGGGUUUAUUGUCUGCCCACAGCGUAUGUGUCCAGGAAGAACAUUCUGAACCCGUUCCCGUACUCUGGGGGAGUUGGAGGUGUGAUUCGGGCUCCUUGUAGCUCUCAGCCCUGUGGGACAUGCAGAUGGCAAAGCAGGAUAAACGCUAUGAAGACCCGUCCUGACUGUUAGGAAGAAGACAUCCUGCAAUUCAGAUGGAAGGAAUAAUGUGAAGCCACUAAAUGUUAAACAAAUAACUAAAAUAAACCCAGUUGUGGGUUAAGGACCUGAGUAGAUGAUGAUCUGAUUGAGAUAGAGGAAUCCAGGAAAGGAAGGAGAGGGAGAUGCACAGAUGCUCAAAGGUUUGGUUCCUCCCUGUGGAACAUCCAAGAUGGUAAGACACUUGGUUAGCAGCGCUGUGCUGGGGCGUUGAGGGUCUCAAGCUCAGGGAAGAGGGUUGGAACAGAGAUACUUACUUGUGAGAUGUUAGCAUGACUGGAUCCUCGAUUUAGUCAUCUCUGCCAAGUUCCUUUUACCAGGUAAAAAACAUAUUUGCAGGUUCUUUGGAUUAGGAAACAGAGAGUAUCAUGACCAAUGUUUUGCAAAUCAAUUUGAAAUCUUACAUGGCAUGAGCAGAUUCCUUGAAAAAUACCACUUUCCAGAACUAAAACAAUAAGUACAAAAUCUUUAUAAUUCCAUUUUUAUGGAUGGAACCUAUAAUUUGAAACAUUCUCAGUAAGAAAAGUCAAGUCCGGAGGACCGAAUCAUUCAAUCACUAAACACACUGGAGGGAGAGCUGGCACUAACCGUCCAUGAACUCAACCAGAAAAUGGCAAAGGCAGGAACACUUCAGACUCUCUGCACGAGGCCAGCGCAAUCUUAAUAACAGAACUUCACAAAGACAUUGUAAGAUAGGAAAAUGAGAGGCAGAUUGUUCUCAUAAGCAUAGAUACAAAACUCCUAGACAAAAUAUUAACAAACCAAAUCUGUGGCAUAUAAAAAGAAUUAUACAUUACAACCAAGUUGGGUGUAUUCUAUAAAUGUGUGCUAAGAUUUAAAAUUCAAACAAUUGUGAUUUAUUAUAUUACCAUUAAACGUCACAGGAGCAUCUCGGUAGGCACAAAAUGAGCACUUGGUAUUUUCAACACCUGUUCAAAAUAAAAUUGGUAGCAAACUACGGAGAGAAGUUUCGUUUAUCCGAUAAAGGGUAUCUCAAGAAAACCCUACAGAGGUUGUCAUACUUGAUAAUAAAACUUCAAAAGCUUACUUUGUUUGUUGUUGGAAAGACCACAGCGUCUACUACAACUUCUACACGAUAGUACAUGGGAGGUUCUCUUCACUGCAAUAAGGCAAACAAAGGAAAAGUCAUGAGAAUUGGAAAGACAAAGUAAAACUGUGAUUUUGUAUAGUCAGCAUGAUUGCAUGGAUAGAAAAUGUAUUCGGAUAUACAGAUCAACUCUUAGAAUAAGUCGGUGAGUUUAACCGCGUUACUGAUGAGAGGCUAAUGUGAGAAAUCGAGUGUGUUUCCAUAUACUUUAAUGAACUGUUUAAAAAUUUUAUUUAAAGUGAAAACAUUUACAGUAGCAGAUAAAAUAAAGUUUCUAGGAAUAAAAGCAAUGUGUGCAAGAGUCUUUUACACAGAAAACUAAACAUUACUGAGAGAUAUUCAAGAAGUCUUAAGAAAAUAAACAGUAUACAUUAUUGAAGGAUUCUAAGAAUCAAUAUUGUAAUUAAGUUUAUUCUCCCAAAUUGAUUAAAAAAUUCAGUGUAACUCCUCUCAUAAUCUCAGUCCUUCUGUUUUACAAAUUGAAAAGCUGAUCCUAAAAUGUAUAUGAAAACAAAAAGGAUCAAAAAUAAUGAAGACAAACUGAGAAUAUAAAAAAAGGUUAGAGGUCUUUUACUCUCAGAUCUCAAACCAUCUUAAAGCUGCAGCAAUGAAAAUGGCAUAGCGCUGAUUGGUGUGAGAACAGACAAAUAAGUCAGUGUCAUAGAAUAGAGUGCAGAAGAAAACCCACAUUUACUAUUCACAUGAUUUGUGAGGAAAGAAAUAAGAGGGAAAAAACCUCUUUGCUGUGCAUUGAGGGAAAACAAUCUUUCUUAUAUGUAUGGAUUGUUUCCAUUGUAUAUCCAUAUUUUUAAAAAGCCUUUGAUCCCUACCUCACACAAUAAACAAAAAUCAUUCCAGCUGUUUUGGAUUGAAAUGAGAAAAAUCAGCAAAACUAUUUUCUAAAAGCGGUCAUGAAAACAUACUGAGAAGACCUUGGAGAAAUCAAAGAUUUCUAAAACAAUAAACAUAUACACAGAGGACUUACCACAGAAGAAAAAAGGACUGAAAACUAGUGCUUUAAAUUAGAACUCUGUGUUACAGAAUAUACCAUUAAGAGAAUCAAAAGGCAAACCACAGUGUAGAAGAUAGUUAUAGUAUAUAUAUUCAACAAAGGUUCACACAUAGAAUAUAUAUAAAGAACUACUACAAACUAAUAGGAAAAGAACAUUCAAUUGAAGGCAAAAUGGCCUGAAAACUUCAAAAGUCACUACACACACACAUCCUCCAAAUAAGUGCUCUGAAUGGUGAGCACCAAGGAUCUUCUGAGUACAAAUUAAAAUGACAAUGAAUGAAUGAGAAUGAGAUAGCACACCUGCCAAAACGGCACAAAAAAAGAAAAAAAAAAAAAGUCUGACAAUUCAAAGUGUUGACAAAGAUGGACUCUCAUUAACUCUGGCCAGAGCCUAAUCUACCUGGAAAGGGUACUUUGUGGAACUAUUUGCAGUAUCUACUAAAAGGAAUUUAGGCUUACCCAGUGAACAAACAUUCCUCGUCUCUGAAUAUACCCACGAGAAAAGCAUGCCUAGUACCAACAGAAAAGAUAUUGGUGAAAAUGUUUACAGUAGCUUUUUCCAUAAAGAGCCCCGAGCUGGAAACAGCUCAAAUGUCCAUGAAUAGUAUUACGCUAUAUCGUGUUUAUAUUCAUACCACAGAAUGUAGACAGCAAUGAAAAAUAACUACAGAUGAAUACCCAUAAGACAGAUUGCUGAGUCAGUAUAUUCUCUUUGAUACAUAUAAUUCUAUAUAUAUAUGUAAAGUAAAAAAAACACAGUAAAAUAAGUUUAUAAUGACAGACAUCAGAAGAGUGGCUAUCUAUUGUGUUUUGUUCUGUUUUAUUUUGUUUUGAGACAGGGUCUCACUCUGUUGCCCAGGCUGGAGUGCAGUGGCACGCUCUUGGCUCACUGCAGCCUCCCUGGCUCAAGUGAUCCUCCUACCUCAGGCUCCCCACUAGCUGGGACUAUAGGCGCACACCACCACGUCCAGCUAAUUUUUGUGUUUAUUUAUUUAUUAUUAUUAUUUUUGUAAUAAUAAUAAUAAAUAAAUUAAAUAAAUAAAUAAAGGCUGAGUUUUGCCAUGUUGCCCAGGCUGGUCUUGAACUCCUGAGUUCAAGCAGUCCUCCUACCUCAGCCUCCCAACGUGCUGGGAUUAUAGGCAUGAGCCACUAUGCCUUGCCUGGUUACCUUUUGAAGGGCUAUGAUUGCAAGGGUAUGAAGGAGGGUUCUGGAAUGGUAAUAAUGUUCUAUUACUUGAUCUGAAUGAUACUUGUAUUUAUGUGCUCAUUUUUUCUGUAAAUGAAUCAGAUACUUGUGACUCAUGUGUUUUACCAUAUGAAUGUUAUGCAUAAUAAAGUCAAAAUAUUUUAAGGUCAAAUUAAUAAAGGGAAUGUCCUAAAUGAAGAUAUUCUGUCUGUGAACAGUUAUAUAGUUAUAGGAGCGAACUCGCUGGGUGUAAUAGCUUUACUUUUAAUCAUAAUUAAAUAUUAUUAAAGAAUAAAUCAUUAUUAAAUCUAUUAAAUAGAUUUCUCAAAUUGCCUCUAAUUUUUCACAAAAGUGGUCUGUACCCAUUAGCCAGGUGCGUGAGUUUAGCUCAUUUUGGUUUUGGGCAGGAAUUGGGAAAGUCAGACUGCUAUCUGACUGAUUGUUCGUGGACUUUAAAAUUAGUCUUACACAUACCCCAACAUUAAAAAAAAAAAAAUGACAACAGAAACUGAAAUUUCCUGGAAACAGCUGUCAUUUGGGAUUCAGAAGACAAAAGACAUGAUUCAAAACCCUGCCCCUUGCUCUUGACGGGCGAUCCCUGCCCAGCCCUGAAAAGUCUCGCUGUUGUCCUGGCCCCUGUCCCAAGGCUGUGGCAAUAACAUGCACUAAAGACGUGUUUGCUGGAAGAAGACAUGUGGAGUAUGCAUGGAAUUUUGCCUUGGCCAUAACGUUGAAUGUGCUGUUCUGCAAUCCUGUACCAAUAGGGCACCAGGCCCGCUCUGAAGUCCGCUAAUGGCAAUC
rnacentral:lncRNA from 10 species